rnacentral:rRNA from 1 species
GACGUAGGGCGCGAGCGUUGUCCGGAUUUAUUGGGCGUAAAGAGCUCGUAGGCGGCUUGUUGCGUCGACUGUGAAAACCCGCGGCUUAACUGCGGGCUUGCAGUUGAUACGGGCAGGCUAGAGUUCGGUAGGGGAGACUGGAAUUCCUGGUGUAGCGGUGAAAUGCGCAGAUAUCAGGAGGAACACCGGUGGCGAAGGCGGGGCGCUGGGCCGAUACUGGCGCUGAGGAGCGAAGGCCAGGGGAGCAAACGGG